rnacentral:rRNA from 1 species
UACGUAGGGGGGCAAGCGUUGUCCGGAAUCAUUGGGCGUAAAGAGCGUGUAGGCGGCUCGGUAAGUCCGCUGUGAAAGUCCAGGGCUCAACCCUGGAAUGCCGGUGGAAACUGUCGAGCUAGAGUCCGGAAGAGGCGAGUGGAAUUCCUGGUGUAGCGGUGAAAUGCGCAGAUAUCAGGAGGAACACCGAUGGCGAAGGCAGCUCGCUGGGACGGUACUGACGCUGAGACGCGAAAGCGUGGGGAGCAAACAGG